CCUACGGGUGGCUGCAGUGGGGAAUAUUGGGCAAUGGGCGAAAGCCUGACCCAGCAACGCCGCGUGAAGGAAGAAGGCUUUCGGGUUGUAAACUUCUUUUGACAGGGAAGAGCAGAAGACGGUACCUGUCGAAUAAGCCACGGCUAACUACGUGCCAGCAGCCGCGGUAAUACGUAGGUGGCAAGCGUUGUCCGGAUUUACUGGGUGUAAAGGGCGUGUAGCCGGGCUGACAAGUCAGAUGUGAAAUCCGGGGGCUCAACCCCCGAACUGCAUUUGAAACUGUUGGUCUUGAGUAUCGGAGAGGCAGGCGGAAUUCCUAGUGUAGCGGUGAAAUGCGUAGAUAUUAGGAGGAACACCAGUGGCGAAGGCAGCGUACCGGCGCCGGACUGACGCUGAGGCACGAAAGCGUGGGUAUCGAACAGGAUUAGAUACCCUGGUAGUC
rnacentral:rRNA from 1 species